rnacentral:tRNA from 1 species
GCCGGUGUGGCUCAGUGGAUAGAGCGUCAGCCUACAGGCUGAGGGGCCCGGGGUUCGAUUCCAGCCAAGGGCA